rnacentral:rRNA from 1 species
UACGGAGGGGGCUAGCGUUGUUCGGAAUUACGGGGCGUAAAGCGCGCGUCGGCGGACCUGCAAGUCGGGGGUGAAAGCCCGAGGCUCAACCUCGGAACUGCCUUCGAUACUGCGGGUCUCGAGUCCGGGAGAGGUGAGUGGAAUUCCUAGUGUAGAGGUGAAAUUCGUAGAUAUUAGGAAGAACACCAGUGGCGAAGGCGGCUCACUGGCCCGGUACUGACGCUGAGGCGCGAAAGCGUGGGGAGCAAACAGG